rnacentral:rRNA from 1 species
AUGUAAUAUCAUGCCACCCUGAACAUACCCAAUCUCUUCUCAUCUCAGAAGCUAAGCAGGCUCAGAACUGAUUAGUACUUGGAUGGAAGACCACCAGGGAGUACUAGGUGACAAA